UACGUAGGGUGCAAGGGUUGUCCGGAAUCAUUGGGGGUAAAGAGCUCGUAGGCGGUCUGUCGCGUCUGCUGUGAAAACCUGGGGCUUAACCCUGGGCUUGCAGUGGGUACGGGCAGACUAGAGUGCGGUAGGGGAGACUGGAAUUCCUGGUGUAGCGGUGAAAUGCGCAGAUAUCAGGAGGAACACCGGUGGCGAAGGCGGGUCUCUGGGCCGUAACUGACGCUGAGGAGCGAAAGCAUGGGGAGCGAACAGG
rnacentral:rRNA from 1 species